CUAUCUUAGAAUGCGCAGAGGAACGCGCAGGAAAAAUCGGAAUCGCAAAAAAAUCAUUUUUCCGCAUUUUCCAAAACCUAUAAAUAGCUCAAAAAUUAGAUUUUUUUGCCAAAAACUACCCAUUUCCCUCCCCAAACCCGCGAGCAUCAAGAGAGAGAGAGAGAGAUCCGGAUCUUCGUCGUUUCUUGCCCGUUUGCUUCACCGAUCGUCGCUAAUCGAAGACCUCGAGGUAGGUAAACUAUACUCUCCUUCGAAUCGUCGUUUCUGUCCACUUCUCCUACGUCUUUCUGAGUUCAAAAUUUUGAGGUUUUUGAAAAACUGUUCAAAUACGCUGAAUUCAGUGUCUAAACUUCUUCCCUGCAUGCUCCUGAGCGUGUUCUGCGGAUUAGAUUUUGUCAAAUGUCGACGAAAUGCCGCCGGGAUCAAUUUCUACCUUAAAUACCCAUUUUUCGGCAAAGUCGCAACCUUUGGGCUGAAAUCUAUCGACCUGGCUUAGUGCUAGUAGGAUUUUUCGUCAUAAACGUCGUUGUGGACGUCCUCAUCCAAUUUGUUUUUCAAAAAUCCAAUUUUGAAAUUUUGAGCUAAAAAUAAUGACCAAACUACCCCUAUAUCAGUUUUCGAUCCGAAAAUUUUUCCGAGCUUAGAACCGUCUUAGUUACGGCUUAUGUUAACCUAGGAACCAAGUUUGAUCGAAGAAAAAUCGACCCUCCCAAUUAAAGGAAGUGGCCGAGAGCUAUAUCAAGGGGGGGGAAGAAUCCGAUUUUUCGAAAACUUGUCUUAACGCGUUAGAUUGUCGUACCACGGAGGUUGUAGUGUACCGUGUGACCCUAGGACUCUUUGAUUGCUGAGUUUCUGACUCUUGGUGUUGAUUUCUGUGAUUUUUGCUUAAGGUUCUUUUGAGUAGAUUCCUGGAGAACAAGGAGAAGAGCGUGAAGGACACUUGGAGGAGGAAGCUGGAAGACCCACCGGCGAUGGUGAGCCUUCCGCUGAAGCUUAGCCGUACGAGUUGGAGACCGUGACCGUGGGCGGUCGAGUAGAGAUGGAUGAAGCAGUUGCUUCUUCCUUUUGGUGGACUAUGUCUGAGUUUCUUUCCCCAUCUGAAAACUCUGUUGUUUAAACUUUAUCUCCGCCACUGUUCCAGUGAGCGUACUUAUUUUGGAAACCUGCUUACGAUAUUGUAUGACACUAUUAUUAUAUGUCGGGAACGGGUUGUUGAAUAAAGUCUAUGUUAUGUAUUCAAUUAUGUUCAGUUGUUUCGAAAAGGAAAAAAAUAUAUUGUGUUUUCUUAGGAUUACGAAAUAGUCCUUAGAUUUUGUUAGGUAACUAAUGUGACUCCUCAGUUGAGAAAUUGGGGCGUUACAGUGAUCGUCCCAUCUUUCGAGAUGUCCUAAAGUGGCAGUGGAGUGGAUAUUUUCACAGGACUGUCCCGUCUUUCAUGGGCGUUAUUAAGUGGCAUUCAGGGGAGUUCGGUUCUCCGUCUGUCCCGUCUUUCAUGGGCAUUAUUAAGUGGCAUUCAGGGGAGUUCGGUUCUCCGUCUGUCCCGUCUUUUAUGGGCGUUAUUUGGUGAUAGUUCAGGGGAGUCCGUUUCCCGCUCUAUCCCGUCUUGCGAGACAUUAUUGAUCGAUCCAUUUUGGUUGCAGCAUAUAGUUGCAUUAUAGGGCAAUAAUAUUUGCUUCUGAUGUUUUGGGUGAUAUCUGAUUUGAUGUAUAUUGUUGAAGUUGUUGAUAUCUGAUUUGAUGUAUAUUUUUAAGGUUGUUGAUAUCUGAUUUGAAGUUAUUGUCAUAUGAGUUGAUUCUAUGUUGUUGAGGUUGUUUAUAUCUGGUUUAAUUCUAUGUUGCUGCUUCUAUUGAUAUCUAUCUUGAUUAUAUUGUUAGCUUAUCUGUUUGUGGUAUCUAUGUUGCUAAGUUGUUGACAUCUGAGUUAAAUUCAUAUCGUUGAUUUUGCUGAUAUAUGAUCUGAUUUCAUGUUGUUGGAUAUAUGUUGUCAUCUAUCUUGAACUAAGUUGAUAGCUUAUGUGCCAUGUAUGCACUUAAAUUUGAAUAGCAUGAUUUUCUCUUUUUACGUGGUAGUUGCAUGGAGUUAACCCUUUCUAUUUGCUAUUUGUUGUUUGGGCGCUUAACGCUAUUAGGCGAUGGAGAACCCUCGAUGAAGCUUGACUUUUGUACGAGUCGGAGCUGAAGACUUGAAGAUUAGUGGAGGACAUGAAGAGUAGAGUCGGGUUUAAGGCUAGAGCCUUGGGUUAGAGAGCUUACCGUCAUUGGUUUAAGCUCAACUAAUGAUUUUUAGGAAUUUAUAUUUGAGUUUCCGGGUAGGUUCCGAUGCUUUGCUUUCCGGCGGUUCCCCGAUGUGGAGAUCGUAGGGAGUAUGUCGGAUUUAUGGUGUCAUUGCAUAAUAGGGUUUUUGUUGAGUUGUUUCUAUUGGUCAGGUUUUGUAGUUGGGAGUAUGCAUGACAUGUUUUGGAAAUACAUUUGAAAAGAAAAAAAAAAUAUACUAGUGUUUAUACAUUCUUUUGGAAAAUAUUGCAUAUUUACUUU